rnacentral:lncRNA from 14 species
CUUAGCUUUGGCACCUACACUUCAGUUCAUGGUUGCUCUACAACUAAGGAGAGGUUAAGACUGUCAAAAGCUGGCAGGAGAUGGAAGCACCAGAGAGGCAACGCACCAGACGCCAGGGAAAAGAGGAACUUGCUUGCAGUUGAUGAUACAUCUGGCCAGUGCCCAGAAUGGCAGAAUGGUCUCUUGGAUACCCAUUCCCUUUUUCUCACACAAAAAUAUUGUUUUGAGUUAUACUUAAUAGGUGAGUACUCAAAAAGACCUUCCUGUGGCAGGAACAUUUUUCAAGAGGUAAGUGUUCAUUUAAUGUGUGAUUUCAG